rnacentral:rRNA from 1 species
UGGGGAAUUUUGGACAAUGGGGGAAACCCUGAUCCAGCCAUCCCGCGUGUGCGAUGAAGGCCUUCGGGUUGUAAAGCACUUUUGGCAGGAAAGAAACGUCAUGGGUUAAUACCCCGUGAAACUGACGGUACCUGCAGAAUAAGCACCGGCUAACUACGUGCCAGCAGCCGCGGUAAUCCGUAGGGUGCAAGCGUUAAUCGGAAUUACUGGGCGUAAAGCGUGCGCAGGCGGUUCGGAAAGAAAGAUGUGAAAUCCCAGAGCUCAACUUUGGAACUGCAUUUUUAACUACCGGGCUAGAGUGUGUCAGAGGGAGGUGGAAUUCCGCGUGUAGCAGUGAAAUGCGUAGAUAUGCGGAGGAACACCGAUGGCGAAGGCAGCCUCCUGGGAUAACACUGAAGCUCAUGCACGAAAGCGUGGGGAGCAAACAGG